rnacentral:rRNA from 1 species
UACGAAGGGGGCUAGCGUUGCUCGGAAUCACUGGGCGUAAAGGGUGCGUAGGCGGGUCUUUAAGUCAGGGGUGAAAUCCUGGAGCUCAACUCCAGAACUGCCUUUGAUACUGAAGAUCUUGAGUCCGGGAGAGGUGAGUGGAACUGCGAGUGUAGAGGUGAAAUUCGUAGAUAUUCGCAAGAACACCAGUGGCGAAGGCGGCUCACUGGCCCGGUACUGACGCUGAGGCACGAAAGCGUGGGGAGCAAACAG